rnacentral:pre_miRNA from 1 species
UACAAUGUUUUGGUCUUUGUCUUAUUUAAAAUUGUCUUACGAUUAAUAUUUUUUAUCGUUACUAGAUGAUAAAACAUAAAUAGUGUUUUAUGCGUGACUAAUUUUUUAAAGUAUUUUACAAAAUUUUCAAAUAAGACGAAGUCAAACGUUAGACACACACAGAAAUCG